NNNNNNCCACCCCCAGGCACCCCCACCCCGGGGUGUCACCUCCGGGCAGUGCCACCACCCCGGGGUGUCACCCACGGCCACCACCCCCCUGGGUGUCACCCACGGCCAAGGCCACCACCCUGGGGUGUCACCUCUGGGCAGUGCCACCACCCCAGGGUGUCACCUUGUCACCCACGGCCACGGCCACCACCCUGGGGUGUCACCCACGGCCAUGGCCACCACCCCGGGGUGUCACCUUGUCACCCACUGCCACCACCCCGGGGUGUCACCCACGGCCACCACCCCCCUGGGUGUCACCCACGGCCACUGCCACCACCCCCCUGGGUGUCACCUUGUCACCCACGGCCACUGCCACCCCCCCGGGCUGUCACCUCUGGGCACUGCCGCCACCCUGGGGUGUCACCCACAGGCAUGGCCACCACCCUAGGGUGUCACCUUGUCACCCAUGGCCACGGCCACCACCCCAGGGUGUCACCCGCGGCCACCGCCACCCCCCCGGGCUGUCACCUCUGGGCACUGCCACCCCCCCCCGGGGCUGUCACCCACGGCCACCGCCCCCACCCCGGGUCACCGCUGCCACCCCCGGGCUGUCACCCCUGGGCGCUGUCACCCCUGGGUGCUGUCACCACCCGGGCGCUGUCACCUCCCGGCACUGCCACCGCCACCUCUGGGUGCUGCCACCCCGGGCUGUGCCCCCCCCCAGGGCUGUGCCCCCCCCCCAGGUGGUGACACCCCCGGGGCCGUGCCACCCGCAGCCCCCCCCCCCCCUUAAGUCCCCCCCCACUUUGCUCUGGGCUCCAGUGCCUGAGGGGGGGCCGUGACCGGCUGUAAUUUGGGAGGGGGGGGGAUUUUGGUGGGGGGGGGACACGACUUCAUUCCCUUGGGCCCCCCAAGCUUUCAGAGGGGGGAUACCCUCUUUGGGGGGGCGCUGAUGUGGGUAUAAGCCCCCUGCUAACCCCCCCCCCGGAUAGUUUUGGGGGGGUCACGUAACCCUGGGGAGGGGUUGGACCCCCCCGUCUGUAAGGAGGGGGGGGGUCAGAAUGGGGGCCGCGGCGCUUGUUGUCCGUU
rnacentral:lncRNA from 1 species